rnacentral:rRNA from 1 species
GGUCAAGCGAAUAAGCGCAUACGGUGGAUGCCUAGGCAGUUGGAGGCGAUAAAGGACGUUGUAGCCCGCGAUAUGCCUCGGGGAGGUGGCAAACAACCUUUGAUCCGAGGAUUUCCGAAUGGGGAAACCCGAUGCGCGCUUGCGCGCGUCAUUACUCGUUGAAUAUAUAGGCGAGUAAAGCUAACCCGGGGAACUGAACCAUCUAAGUACCCGGAGGAAAAGAAAUCAACCGAGAUUCCCUUAGUAGCGGCGAGCGAAAGGGGACCAGCCAGCAGUCUUUAUUCUUUGAGUCAGGGGAAUAUUCUGGAAAGUUUAGCGAUACAGGGUGAUAGCCCCGUACCCGAAAACCCGAAGAAAGAACUAAGUCUGCAGCAAGUAGGUCGGAGCACGUGAAACUUUGACUGAAGAUGGGGGGACCAUCCUCCAAGGCUAAAUACUCCCAACUGACCGAUAGUGAACCAGUACCGUGAGGGAAAGGCGAAAAGAACCCCGGAGAGGGGAGUGAAAUAGAUCCUGAAACCGUUUGCGUACAAGCAGUCAGAGCCUUGUCAUUUAGUCGCUUGCGACUCUUUGACGGGUGAUGGCGUACCUUUUGUAUAAUGGGUCAGCGACUUACUUUCAGUGGCAAGCUUAACCUUUUUUGGGAAGGCGCAGGGAAACCGAGUCUUAAUAGGGCGAAUCAGUCGCUGGGAGUAGACCCGAAACCGGGCGAUCUAUCCAUGGCCAGGGUGAAGGUUCGGUAACACGGACUGGAAGCCCGAACCCACCUAUGUUGAAAAAUGGGGGGAUGAGCUGUGGAUCGGAGUGAAAGGCUAAUCAAGCCCGGAGAUAGCUGGUUCUCCUCGAAAACUAUUUAGGUAGUGCCUCAUGUAUCACUCUCGGGGGUAGAGCACUGUUUCGGCUAGGGGGCCAUCCCGGCUUAUCAACCCGAUGCAAACUCCAAAUACCGAGAAGUGCAAUCAUGGGAGACAGACGGCGGGUGCUAACGUCCGUCGUCGAAAGGGAAACAACCCAGACCGCCAGCUAAGGUCCCUAAAUAACAGUUAAGUGGGAAACGAUGUGGGAAGGCUAAAACAGCCAGGAGGUUGGCUUAGAAGCAGCCACCCUUUAAAGAAAGCGUAACAGCUCACUGGUCGAGUCGGCCCGCGCGGAAGAUUUACCGGGGCUUAAACUGUUUACCGAAGCUGCGGGUACGUGGCCGUUCGCGGUUACGUACGGUAGAGGAGCGUUCUGUACGCCGUUGAAGGUGUGCUGUAAAGCAUGCUGGAGGUAUCAGAAGUGCGAAUGCUGACAUGAGUAACGAUAAGGGAGGUGAAAAACCUCCCCGCCGGAAGACCAAGGUUUCCUGCGCAACGCUAAUCGGCGCAGGGUAAGUCGGCCCCUAAGGCGAGGCGGAAACGCGUAGUCGAUGGGAAGCAGGUUAAUAUUCCUGCACUUACAUUCAUUGCGAUGGAGGGACGGAGAAGGCUAGGCCAGCAAGGCGAUGGUUGUCCUUGUUCAAGCGUGUAGGCUGGAGAUUUUGGUAAAUCCGGAUCUCCUUAAGGCUGAGGCGCGAUAACGACCUGAUCUAAAGUAUCGGGGAAGUGGCUCAUGCCAUGCUUCCAGGAAAAGCUCCUAAGCUUCAGAUGAAUGUAAACCGUACCCCAAACCGACACAGGUGGUCGGGUAGAGUAUACCAAGGCGCUUGAGAGAACUCGGGUGAAGGAACUAGGCAAAAUGGCACCGUAACUUCGGGAGAAGGUGCGCCGCGAAUGGUGAUGGGACUUGCUCCCUGAGCUGUCCGCGGUCGAAGAUACCAGGUGGCUGCGACUGUUUAUUAAAAACACAGCACUCUGCAAACUCGUAAGAGGACGUAUAGGGUGUGACGCCUGCCCGGUGCCGGAAGGUUAAUUGAUCGGGUUAGAGGACUUGUCCUCGAAGCUCGUGAUCGAAGCCCCGGUAAACGGCGGCCGUAACUAUAACGGUCCUAAGGUAGCGAAAUUCCUUGUCGGGUAAGUUCCGACCUGCACGAAUGGCGUAACGAUGGCCACGCUGUCUCCACCCGAGACUCAGUGAAAUUGAAUUUGCGGUUAAGAUGCCGUAUACCCGCGGCUAGACGGAAAGACCCCGUGAACCUUUACUAUAGCUUCACACUGGACUCUGAUUUUAUUUGUGUAGGAUAGGUGGGAGACUUUGAAGCCGGAACGCAAGUUCCGGUGGAGUCGACCUUGAAAUACCACCCUGGUAACGUUGGGGUUCUAACGCCGGUCCCUUAUCGGGAUCGCGGACAGUGUGUGGUGGGUAGUUUGACUGGGGCGGUCUCCUCCCAAAGAGUAACGGAGGAGCGCGAAGGUACCCUCAGCAUGGUCGGAAAUCAUGCAAUGAGUGCAAUAGCAGAAGGGUGCUUGACUGCGAGACAGACACGUCGAGCAGGUAGGAAACUAGGUUAUAGUGAUCCGGUGGCUCUGUAUGGAAGGGCCAUCGCUCAACGGAUAAAAGGUACUCCGGGGAUAACAGGCUGAUACCGCCCAAGAGUUCACAUCGACGGCGGUGUUUGGCACCUCGAUGUCGGCUCAUCACAUCCUGGGGCUGAAGCCGGUCCCAAGGGUAUGGCUGUUCGCCAUUUAAA